CAGCAGUCGCCGCGGUAAUACGAAGGGGGCUAGCGUUGCUCGGAUUUACUGGGCGUAAAGGGCGCGUAGGCGGACAGUUUAGUUGGGGGUGAAAGCCCGGGGCUCAACCUCGGAACUGCCUUCAAUACUGGCUGUCUUGAGUACGGGAGAGGUGAGUGGAACUCCGAGUGUAGAGGUGAAAUUCGUAGAUAUUCGGAAGAACACCAGUGGCGAAGGCGACUCACUGGCCCGUUACUGACGCUGAGGCGCGAAAGCGUGGGGAGCAAACAGGAUUAGAUACCCCUGUAGUCCCUGUCUCUUAUAC
rnacentral:rRNA from 1 species